UUGAAGAGUUUGAUCAUGGCUCAGAUUGAACGCUGGCGGCAGGCCUAACACAUGCAAGUCGAGCGGUAGCACAGAGAGCUUGCUCUCGGGUGACGAGCGGCGGACGGGUGAGUAAUGUCUGGGAAACUGCCUGAUGGAGGGGGAUAACUACUGGAAACGGUAGCUAAUACCGCAUAACGUCGCAAGACCAAAGUGGGGGACCUUCGGGCCUCAUGCCAUCAGAUGUGCCCAGAUGGGAUUAGCUAGUAGGUGGGGUAACGGCUCACCUAGGCGACGAUCCCUAGCUGGUCUGAGAGGAUGACCAGCCACACUGGAACUGAGACACGGUCCAGACUCCUACGGGAGGCAGCAGUGGGGAAUAUUGCACAAUGGGCGCAAGCCUGAUGCAGCCAUGCCGCGUGUGUGAAGAAGGCCUUCGGGUUGUAAAGCACUUUCAGCGGGGAGGAAGGCGUUAAGGUUAAUAACCUUGGCGAUUGACGUUACCCGCAGAAGAAGCACCGGCUAACUCCGUGCCAGCAGCCGCGGUAAUACGGAGGGUGCAAGCGUUAAUCGGAAUUACUGGGCGUAAAGCGCACGCAGGCGGUCUGUCAAGUCGGAUGUGAAAUCCCCGGGCUCAACCUGGGAACUGCAUUCGAAACUGGCAGGCUAGAGUCUUGUAGAGGGGGGUAGAAUUCCAGGUGUAGCGGUGAAAUGCGUAGAGAUCUGGAGGAAUACCGGUGGCGAAGGCGGCCCCCUGGACAAAGACUGACGCUCAGGUGCGAAAGCGUGGGGAGCAAACAGGAUUAGAUACCCUGGUAGUCCACGCCGUAAACGAUGUCGAUUUGGAGGUUGUGCCCUUGAGGCGUGGCUUCCGGAGCUAACGCGUUAAAUCGACCGCCUGGGGAGUACGGCCGCAAGGUUAAAACUCAAAUGAAUUGACGGGGGCCCGCACAAGCGGUGGAGCAUGUGGUUUAAUUCGAUGCAACGCGAAGAACCUUACCUGGUCUUGACAUCCACAGAACUUUCCAGAGAUGGAUUGGUGCCUUCGGGAACUGUGAGACAGGUGCUGCAUGGCUGUCGUCAGCUCGUGUUGUGAAAUGUUGGGUUAAGUCCCGCAACGAGCGCAACCCUUAUCCUUUGUUGCCAGCGGUUCGGCCGGGAACUCAAAGGAGACUGCCAGUGAUAAACUGGAGGAAGGUGGGGAUGACGUCAAGUCAUCAUGGCCCUUACGACCGGGCUACACGUGCUACAAUGGCAUAUACAAAGAGAAGCGACCUCGCGAGAGCAAGCGGACCUCAUAAAGUAUGUCGUAGUCCGGAUUGGAGUCUGCAACUCGACUCCAUGAAGUCGGAAUCGCUAGUAAUCGUAGAUCAGAAUGCUACGGUGAAUACGUUCCCGGGCCUUGUACACACCGCCCGUCACACCAUGGGAGUGGGUUGCAAAAGAAGUAGGUAGCUUAACCUUCGGGAGGGCGCUUACCACUUUGUGAUUCAUGACUGGGGUGAAGUCGUAACAAGGUAACCGUAGGGGAACCUGCGGUUGGAUCACCUCCUU
rnacentral:rRNA from 1 species